ensembl:lncRNA
UAGUUUUAAAAUCAUAAAAUGAGGAACAAAGUGCCUGAAAAGGGAAUAGAACACUGAAGAACUGACUUUUCUAUAAUACAAAUGUUUGUUUUCCAAUUAUUUGUAGGCUCUCCAAGCUGGACAAGCCAGACCUGAUCUAGAGAUUGUGGGUGUUUGACAAAUUAAUCACAAUACAUUUCCCAUUCUAGAUUGAAGUCAACCUUCUACGUUUACUAUAGUAACCAGAGUGUUCCAAUGUUACAGAUCCUUCCUGUUGGUGGUGGAGUACCUGUAAGUAACCAUAGCGACAUAGUGAAAUACACUGUGCUGUCGUGUUAGUGAUGCUACACCAUCUCACACUAAUAGAGUGAAUGUUCAAUCCAGUCAAUAUCACAGGUGUUAACUUAUCAGAAUUCAGAAAGUCAUGAUGAAAGUGUGUGUGUGAAUGUGUGUGUGUGUGUGUGUGUGUGUGUGUGUGUGUGUGUGUGUGUGUGUGUGUGUGUGUGUGUGUGUGUGUGUGUGUGUGUGUGUGUGUCAAAACAUAGUCAGGUGGUUUCAUCAAACAGGAGAUCCCCCAGCCACUCGGCCAGGAGAGCGUUGAGAUUUACCACCCCUUCAGCAUCCAGGUUGCCCCACCUCCGCCUGCUCCUGCCCAUACUCAUACAUCCGAUGAGGAAGACGAUUAGAGAUAUUACCAAUACUUGGAGAUCUACAAUACCCUUUGAUGAACAACGAUGUCCUUCAACUCCACAGCUGCUUUUAGUGUCCUAGAUUGAUUCAGUAAAUGCAAUGCUUAACCCAGCAAUAAACACAGCGUAACAUGGUGCUUAACCGAUGGCUUGAUGCAUGAAAGCUGUGUGUAAUUGUUUGUACUUGGCUGAAGAAUGUUAAUUUUUUUUUAAAGAACGUUUUGCCAAACUUCUCCAUACCAUGCCUCAAUUUUUCUUUCUUGUCUCUGCUUGUUAGUCUGUGGCAUUGAUGACAUUCUGAAUUCAAAAUAUUUAAGUUCUUCUCAAUCGCGUACGCAUUUUUGUAACAAUGUCAUUUUUCUAGACAGUACACAAGACACACAACUCUGUGUAGUAAAUUUUCCAAAUGUUGUUACCUUCUCAAAACAGCACACUAUAAAAAAACUAUAUGAUACUAUAAAAACUUUAAGGCCACCCUCAAAAAUGCAAAUACAUCUGUAAAAA